AAAGAUGAAGCGACUGUAUAUUAG
rnacentral:piRNA from 1 species